CCUACGGGUGGCAGCAGUGAGGAAUAUUGGUCAAUGGGCGCGAGCCUGAACCAGCCAAGUAGCGUGAAGGAUGACUGCCCUACGGGUCGUAAACUUCUUUUAUACAGGGAUAAAGUCAUGCACUUGUGCCUUUCUGCAUGUACUUUAUGAAUAAGGAUCGGCUAAUUCCGUGCCAGCAGCCGCGGUAAUACGGAGGAGCCGAGCGUUAUCCGGAUUUAUUGGGUUUAACGGGAGCGUAGAUGGGUGGUGAAGUCAGUUGUGAAAGUUUGCGGCUCAACCGGAGAAUUGCAUUUGAUACUGGCAGUCGUGAGUGCAGUAGAGGUAGGCGGAAUUCGUGGUGUAGCGGUGAAAUGCUUAGAUAUCACGAGGAACUCCGAUGGCGAAGGCAGCUUACUGAACUGCCACUGACGUUGAUGCUCGAAAGUGUGGGUAUCAAACAGGAUUAGAUACCCUAGUAGUC
rnacentral:rRNA from 1 species